rnacentral:rRNA from 1 species
AGGAUGAAGCCCCUUGGGGCGUAAACUCCUUUCGAUCGGGACGAUUAUGACGGUACCGGAAGAAGAAGCCUCGGCUAAACUUCGUGC